rnacentral:tmRNA from 1 species
GGGGAUGAUCGGUUUCGACAGCGGAUGUCGAAGCAGGGGAAGCGAGCCGAGGAAGCGGCAAUGAUCUCGUUAACCAUAUGUCGCAAAAAAAUAAUCGCCAAUAACAAGCGCGAUUCCUUCGCCCUCGCUGCCUGAGCAGCGACCUGCGAAGUGUCAGUCCGGGUGCGUCCCCGCCCCGGGUCCUGGCAUCAGCUAGGGGACUCCACCGUUAGCCUCGGUCACGGGGGCUGACGGGACACCACACAGUGACUGAGCCCGUCGGAGACUUGUCCGCGUGAUCUCCGGGGCCGAGAAAAUCGCAGCGGACUGCGCUCGGAGAAGCCCUCCUUUUGCUCCGUUGGACGCGGGUUCGAUUCCCGCCAUCUCCACGA